GGGUCCCGCCCCGUUUGACCCGCUGCGGGGCGGGUGCGGAUCGGCCAAUUCGAAAAAUUUAACAUGCGGGUGCGGAUGCGAGUUUGAAAGGAACCAGGACGUUCUGAACAGGAUGCUCCUCUUUGAAUGUUGGAAAGUGGGAUGAACGUGGGUUUGUAAGUUGCUGAUGGAUCUUCUUCUUGAAGCACACAACCAUGUCUCCAAGCCUUUGCGCUUUGCUUUAUUUGGCCGACCGAAUCUGCCCAGCUUAUUUUGAUGGUGGUUCAGACCAAGAGAUACACUUCUCAUUAAGUUGUUUACUCUUUCUGGUGGCUGUAUGGCAGGGUUUUUAAACCUAUCACGAUUUAGACUCCUUUUCUGAUUUAGUACCAGAACAUUGACUGUUUUUUGUAUCUAUUGUCUGAUGACCUCUUGAAAUUGUUGGAUGUGCAAGUUGUCAGAACACCUUUGCUUUGCUUUCUUCAUCUCAAGUUUCAUCUUUCUCUGGUUUAUUAGCUCAUAAGUCUUCCUGUUUCUUUCAAUCAUC